CACGCAGUAAACGAUGAUUACUAGGAGUUUGCGAUAGACAGUAAGCUCCCGAGCGAAAGCGUUAAGUAAUCCACCUGGGGAGUACGCCGGCAACGGUGAAACUCAAAGGAAUUGACGGGGGCCCGCACAAGCGGAGGAACAUGUGGUUUAAUUCGAUGAUACGCGAGGAACCUUACCCGGGCUUGAAUUGCAGAGGAACAUAGUUGAAAGAUUAUGGCCGCAAGGUCUCUGUGAAGGUGC
rnacentral:rRNA from 1 species